CAAAUUUUCAGGAACAAAAAGUACAUUUGAGAUUAACUUUGUACCCAAGUAGCUUUCAAUAGCUACGGUGCCUUUCCCUUUGGCUGGAAGAUAAUCUCCAUUACCAAUUCUGUCUUUAGAGAUUGCAGAUCUGUGUAACUCUCUGAAGAUCUCUCUGUCGUGAGUCAUAUAAUUUUUACAACCGCUAUCAAUUGACCAACUUCCGCUUGAACUUCUACUUGCAAAACAAGUAGCCACAAACAACUGAUCUUCUUCUUGUUCAUCUGCAAUUUGAGCUCCAUUUAAUUGUUGUGAUCCUUUUCCUUUUCAAAUAAUCUCAGCAUGACCAAGUUUAUGACGCUUUCUGCAUCUCACACCAGUUUUUUUCCAGCAUUUGAAGUGUGGAUGAUUUCUCUUCCCAAAAUGCUGAUAUGGUGGAUAGUUUCCACCUUUGUUGUUGUACCUAGAAUUGCUAUCAGUUACAGAAGCUUCUAUCGAUGUAGCAUAGCUCUACUUUAACUUCUGCUUCCUGCCUUUGCCUCCAGCAUUGAAUUGAUGCCUUGCUUAAAAAGCUGCUUCAACAGUUGCCUUGUUCCUCAUUAUUCUUCUUUGUUCUGUGCUUGCAAGGAGUUUAAAAGUUCUGCCGAAGUAAUGUUUGACAGAUAUUUUGUAUUUUCCACUGAAGCAAUUGUUGUUUCAAACUUUUCAGGUAAAGUAAUACAUAUUUUCUGGACAAUCCUUGUAUCAGAAAGUUCGGUACCAGGCAACUUCAUCUUAUGGGUCAGGCUAAUAAGUUAUCUGAGUACUCUUUAAUUAUCUCAGAUUCCUUCAUUUUUUGCAUCUUAUAUUCCCUCACCAAGUUUAAGAACUUCGCAUCUCAAAUUCUUUUAUCUCCAUAAUAUUCCUUUUUCAGAAAGUCCCAUAUUUCCUUAGCUGAUCUAAGAGUCAUGAUUCUGGAAAAAUAGUAUGAGAUAUUGCAGCAUAGAGACACUCCUUCUCCUUCGCCUUCGACUUCCCGGUCUUCUUCUCUUUGUGAGUUCUAAUCUGAGCCAUUGUAGGGUUGCCUGGUAAAGGGGGAACUUAAUAAUCCUCCUCUACUGCCUCACAGAGACCACAUGCAUGAUGCAUCCAUGUAGUCUUCCAUCCUAACAGCCAAACCUGAUAGUUUUCUCCAUCAAAAAUUGGCGAAGCAAUUGAUGAAAAAAUACCUUCACCUUCCAUUAUUCUGCAAGCUAGUUUUAUGGAUUGGUUUGGUUAUGUUUGGGUUUCACUCAAUCAAUAUAACUCACAAAUUCUCACAAAGUCCCUUAAGAACUAAAGGGCUGUGAUGCCAAUGUUAGUGUUUAAAAGAGGAGAAUAAACUGAUCGAAGAAGAAAACGAAAAAUGUCGUCUAUUGAUAUCGGGAGACUGUAUAAAUGCAUCGCAGCUUAACUAAAGAUGCUGUGAAGUAAUGGUGAAAAGUCUGCUAAAACUAAGUUAGUGCUUGCUGAAAUUGAGGAACUAUACUUAACAUUAGCUAACAAAAUUUUAAACAAAUUAGGAAACAGAAAACAGCUAAAAUAUAGCAAAUUAUUCUGGUGUGCACUUGCUCAACAUUUUUCUGCCCUACGCCAUCUUCUAGCUUGAAUUUAGGUCAUGUAGUUCUAGAAUACAGUUUCAUUUUUGAAAUGUUACUUAGCUUUCCUUGGGAAGAACAUAAAGGUGGAAGAUUCUGGUGUAGUUGUUCCAGUUAUUUUGUAAAUUGACUCACUAAAAUAGGAACACGCAAAAGAAAGAAAGUAUGUGAUUGAAAUGGUGAAAGAUGCCAACAACUGGUGGUAUGUUGAAUGCUUUUUCUCAAUUGGUGUAUAGAUUAUAAGUUUUAGCAGGUUCUCAAGGAAAUAGAUUUAUGUUAUGACUUCAGAUAUUCAUUCGUGAUUCUCAAACAUAGAGUGGAAUAUUCAGUUGCGAAAAAACUGGUUGUUAAGCAUACUGAUCAAUAGAAAAAAGAUAACUUAAAAAGCUUAUGAACAUUCCUUUAAAGAAAGGUUCUGCUGUUUUACGAACUGGGAUCUAGGUAAAAGAUAGUGUUGUUUCUGUGGAUUGAUAGAAUCAACUCAAACAAACAAAAACAGUGACAUAUGAUUGGUCAUGAUAUCCUGCUCUAUAGUUAAUACCAAUUUAUACUUGUUUGGGUAGAUUCUGAUAGAUAAUAGAUUCUAUCACAUAGAUGUUCUUUUGCAUUUUCUGUAGAAUCUUUCAGGUACAAGUUCUUAUCCAAGAAGUGGAUUUUUCUAUAAGAUGAUUUUGGUAUCCUGAUCUAUAAAAAGAAUACAUUAAAUAGCAUUCCAGUGGCCUAGUAGUCGAUGAAGGCAUGAUAAGGUAUAAACUUCCAAAGACUAGGGUUCAAAUCCCAGCAUAACCCCCCCAACCCCCCGAAUUUUCCUAAAUCUUGGUGGGUAGAGUUACUCGGUACUUGUGCUAGUGAGAGGUGGAAUUAUGACACUUAGCUUUUGAGAUAAGUCAUGUGCUAUUUUGUUAGAUCCUUGUCCCUUGCACAUGAGAUAGCUUAAAUUGAGUGCCAAAAUAUCAAAGAGUGCAAUGACUAUUAGGAGACAAUUGGAAAAGGCAGGCUAUUUUGCCCUCGAUUUGCUUAUAACUUGCAAGAUUCACAUUGCAUAUGAACUAGGUCCAAGUAUAACUUAUUAAAAAAUUGAGCUUUUUGUCAUCUCAGUUACUGUUUCUAGUUCAGUGCGCCACAUGAUAAAAAUCUUUUAAUGUGGAUAACCUUUUCACAUGUCGCGGUAAUAACAGACCCUUCAUAUCAUGUGAUGUAUAUUCUCAGUUAACCUUAAUAGUCUUGUUGAGGAGGAUUUCUCCAUUCUUUUAUAUUUGUUACUGUCAAUUUUUCUCUUUAUCAUGACGUACAAACUACAAUUCUCUCAAGAAACUGGAGGCAAACUUUAACCAUAGAAGAGAGAAUUGGGGUAAUAAAAAGAAGACAGUUGGGGGUAAGGAAAAAAGAGAGGAUUGUUGAGUGUGUGCCAGCAAUUCAUAAGUAACUUAUUGUUGUAUCCAAGAAAAGAUUCCUCCCAUCCAAGAAGUAUAACUUUGUGGAAUUGGACUCUUCUAUUAAAAAACUUAUUAGAAAAAUAUUUCUAUUUUCAUUAACCUCAAUACUCUCUUUUUUCGUUACCUGCAAUUCCUUUUUUUUUCAUUACCCCUAUUUCUCUUUUCUAUGGUUGAUGUUAUCGUUGAACAAAACUUUUCAUCUUUCUAUUGAAGAAUGUAGUGAUUUGCCUCUACAUUGGAUCAGUAAUACAGACUUUGUUAUUAUUUUGAUUUUUAUGAUAUCUUUUCGUUGAUCAAAACGACAUAAAUGAUUUUCAGGUCAAUGAGUGCUAGAAGUGUUUGAAAAUCUAUAUUGUUAUGAUUUUUGAGAGAUUUUUAGAAUUCGGUGUUAAGAGAACUUGCUUUUCUAUUGUCUUUUGUUAAGGCUAAUCAUCAAGCUUUGAUUUUUCUUGUUUGUUAAUGUAUAUAUCUUUGGCUAUUCAUCAAGCUUUGAUUUUCUUUGUUUGUUAAUGUAUAUAUUUUCUUGCUAUUUUUUAAAAGGAGAAAAAUUAAACUAAUAAUUGUCAUAUCUGCAUUUUAGUGUUGAUAAUCUGAACUAAGAAACUCAUUGCUACAAAUUGCAACGAAUGGGGUCAAGAAGAUUUACAACAAAAAAGAACUUGCAGAAGAUUGGUGCUUUGAAUGUCAAGAUGGAGGAGACCUCAUGAUUUGUAACUAUGAGCAAAAUCCUUUUGCUAAAAAAAUCAAUUUUACUUUUGGUAUAUUUGAUAAAUAAACAAGAGACAUAGUCAUCGUAAAAAUGUUUCCAAAUUAUGACUAUGUUUCUAGUAUAUUUCAUCAAUUAUACCAAAAAUAAAAUUAUUUUUUAGCAAAACGACUUGCCUAUAGUUAUAAAUCGUGAUCUCUCCUCCAUCUUUACAUUCAAAGCAUCGAUCUUCUGAAAGUUCUUCAUUGUUGAAUAUCAUCUUGCCCCUCUUCGUCAUAAUUUGUAGCAGAUGAGUUUUUGAAAUUGAAUUACUAGUGACCCACUUCACUAUAAUCAAGAAAAUUUUCAUGUUCAGUUCAGAUGAUUUAAACUAAAAUGUAGAUAUGACAAUUGUUAGUGUAAUAAUUUUCCAUGUAGAAAAAUAUAUAUGCAUUAAUAAACAAAGAAAAUCAAAGCUUAAUGAUUAGCUUGGAGAAAGAAAUACCCAUUAACAGAAAAGCAGGUUCUCUUAACACAUAAUUCUGAAGAAAUAUCUAAAUUAUAGAUUUGCUAACACUUCUAGCACCCAUUGACCUAAAAACAUGAAUAUCAUUUUGAUCAACACCGAAAGAUGUGAUAAAAAUCAAACAAGAAAAAAGAUCAACAUUAUUAGUCCAACCUAGACAGAAAUCUCUUACUUCUUUAAUAGAAAGUUGAAAAAUUUUGCUUAGCGAUAACAUCAACCAUAAAAAGAGAAAAUUGGGGGUAGUAAAAAAAAAGAAAGGAUUGUUGAGUGUGAGAAAUUCAUAACUAACUGAUUGUAAGUAUAACUUUAUUGAAUUGAACUCUUCUAUUUUAAAAACCUUAUUAGAAAAAUCUUUCAAUUUUCGGCACCCCCAAUUCUCUCUUUUUUUCUUUACCCCAAUUUUCUUUUUCUAUGGUUGAUGUUAUUGUUGAACAAAACUUUUCACCUUUCUAUUGAAGAAUGCAGUGAUUUGUGUCUACGUUGGACCAGUAAUGCAAAUUCUUUUCUCGUUUUGAUUAUUAUGAUAUCUUUCGAUAAUCAAAACGACAUUCAUGUUUUCUAGGUCAAUGAGUGCGUGUUUGAAAAUUUAUAAUAUUGUUAUGAUUUUUGGGAGUUCUUUAGAACUUUGUGUUAAGAGAAUUUCUUUUCUAUUGUGUUUUAGUAAUAUGUAUUUCAUUCUCCGGGCUAAUCAUCAAGUUUUUUCAUGUUUUUAGGUUAAUGAGUGCAAAAUGUGUUUGAAAAUUUGUAAUAUUGUUCUGAUUUUGAGAGUUCUUUAUUUUUUGUUAAGAGAAUCUCUUUUUUUAUUGUAUGUUGGUAAUAGGUAUUUCAUUCUGCGGGCUAAUCAUCAACUUUUGAUUUUCUUUGUUUGUACAAAGGACUUGUACACUAAUAAUUAUCGUAUCUGUAUUUUAGUUUUGAUUAUAUGAACUAAACAUGAGAAGUUUCUUGAUUAUAGUCAUGUGGGUCACUAGUAAUUCAAUUUCAAGAAACUCAUCUUCUAUAAAUUGCAACGAAGAGGUCCAAGAAGAUUUUCAACAAAGAAAAACUUGCAAAAAAUUGGUGCUUUGAAUGUAAAGAUGGAAGAGAGGUCAUGAUUUGUGACUAUGGACAAGUCCUUUAGCUAAAAGAUCAAUUUUAUUUUUGGUAUAAAUUGAUAAAUAAAUUAGAAAAAUGGUCAUCAUUCGGAUACAUUUUUAUGAUGACCAUGUUUCUAGUUUAUUUCAUCAAAUAUACCAAUCUUCUGCAAGCUCUACUUCGAUGAAAAUCGUCUUGCCCCUCUUCAUUGCAAUUUGUAGCAUUGAAUUACCAGAGACCCACUUCACUAUAAUGAAGAAAAUUUCUCAUGUUUAGUUCAGAUGACUAAAACUGAUAUACAGAUAUGACAGUUGUUAGUGUAAUUCUUUCCCAUUUAGAAAUAAAUAUAUACAUUAACAAACAAAGUUUGAUGAUUAGCUCGGAGAAAAAAAAUAUCCAUUAACUAAAAAGCAAGUUCGCUUAACACAUCAUUGAAGAAAUACCAAAAUUAUAAAUUUGCAAACACUUCUAGCACCCAUUGACCUAAAAACAUGAAUGUCAUUUUGAUUAACACCGAAAGAUGUCAUAAAAAUUAAAAUCAGCAUUAUUAGUCUAACCUAGAUGGAAAUCACUACCUUCUUUGAUAGAAAGCUGAAAAUUUUUGCUUAGCUAUAACAUCCACAUAGAAGAGAAAAUUGGGGGUAACAAAAAAAGAGAGGAUUGUUGAGUGUGUGUGAGCAAAUUCACAAGUAACUGAUUGGAAGUAAAACUUUAUUGAAUUGGACUCUUAAAUUAAAAAAUCUUAUUAGAAAAAUCUUUCUAUUUUUCGUUACCCCCAAUUCUCUCUUUUUUUCAUUACCCCAAUUCUCUUUUCUAUGGUUGUUGUUAUCGUUGAACAAAACUUUUCACCUUUCUAUUGAAGAAUAUAAUGAUUUGCAUCUACAUUGAACAAGUAAUGCAAAUUCUUUUCUUGUUUUGAUUUUUAUGAUGUAUUUCGGUUGAUCAAAAUGACAUUCAUAUUUUUAGGUAUUGGGUGCUAGAAAUGUUUGAAAAUCUAUAAUAUUGUUAAGAUUUUUGGGAGUUCUUUAGAAUUUUGUGUUGAGAGAAUUUCCUUCUCUUGUGUUUUGGUAAUAGGUAUUUCAUCUUCCGGGCUAAUCAUCAAAUUUUGAUUUUCUUUGUUUACUUAAUAUAUAUAUUUUUUCUGCUAUUUUUGUAAAUUGAAAAAAAUUACACUAAUAAUUGUCAUAUUUGUAUUUUAGUUUUGAUCAUUUGAACUAAAUAUGAGAAGUUUCUUGAUUAUAGUGAUGUGGGUCAAUGGUAAUUCAAUUUCAACGAACUUUACAAAUUGCGACGAAGAGGUGCAAGAAGAUUUUCAACAAAGAAGAAUUUGCAGAAGAUUGGCGCUUUGAAUGUAAAGAUGAAAGAGAGUUCAUGAUUUGUGACUCUGGGCAAGUCUUUUUGCCAAAAAAAUAAUUUUAUUUUUGGUAUAAUUGAUAAAAUAAACUAGAAAAUGUUCAUAAUUUGGAAACAUUUUUAUGAUGAUCAUGUUUUUAGUUUAUUUCAUCAAAUAUACCAAAAAAAUUGAUUUUUUUAGCAAAAUGUCUUGCCCAUUGUCACAAAUCAUGAGCUCUCAUCCAUCUUUACAUUCAAAACACCAAUCUUUUGCAAGCUCUACUUCGAUGAAAAUCGUCUUGCCCCUCUUCGUUGCAAUUUGUAGCAUUGAAUUACCAGAGACCCACUUCACUAUAAUGAAGAAAAUUUCUCAUGUUUAGUUCAGAUGAUUAAAACUGAUAUGCAGAUAUGACAGUUAGCGUAAUUCUUUCCCUAUUUUAGAAAAAAUAGCAAAAAAUAUAUGCGUGAUGAUUAGCCCAGAGAAUGAAUACCCAUUAACAAAACACAAUAAAAAAGCAGGUUCUCUUAACACAAUUAUGAAGAUAUACCAAGAAUCAUAACAAAAUUAUAGAUGUUCAAACAAUUCUAGCACCCAUUGACCUAAAAACAUGAAUAUCAUUUUGAUCAAUCAAAAUAUGUCAUAAAUAAGAAAAAAAUUAACAUUAUUAGUCCAACCUAAACGGAAUUCGCUACCUUCUUUAAUAAAAAGCUGAAAUUUUUUUAUUAGCGAUAACAUCAAUCAUAAAAGAGAAUUGGAGGUAAUGAAAAAAUUGAGAGUAACGAAAAAAGAAAGGAUUGUUAAGUGUGUAUUUACUAUUCAUAAGUAAAUGAUUGUUGUAUCCAAUAAAAGAUUCCUCCAAUCCAAACAUAACUUUGUUGAAUUGGACUCUUCUAUUAAAAGACCUUAUUAGAAAAAUCUUUCUUUUCUCGUUACGCCCAAUUCUCUCUUUUUUUGUACCCCCAAUUCUCGUUUUUAUGGUUUUUGUUAUCGCGAUAGAAAAAUUUUCAGCUUUCUAUUGAAGAAUGUAGUGAUUUGCAUCUAUGUUGGACUAGUAAUGCUUAAUUUUUUUCUUGUUUUUAUGAUAUCUUUUUGUUGAUCAAAACGAUAUUCAUGGUUUUUAGGGAAAUGGGUGCUGGAAGUGUUUGAAAAUCUAUAAUUUUGUUAUGAUUCUUGGGAGUUCUUAGAAUUUUGUGUUAAGAGAACUUGUUUUUUGUGUGUUUUGUUAAUGGGUAUUUCAUUCUCUAGGCUAAUCAUCAAGCUUUGAUUUUCUUUGUUUGUUAAUAUAUAUAUAUAUUUUUGAAUUUUUUCUAAAAGGAAAAAGAUUACACUAACAAUUGUUAUAUCUGCAUUUUAGUUUUUAUCAUUUGAAUUAAACAUGGGAGCUUGAUUCUAGUGAAGUGGGUCUCUGAUAUUUCAAUUUUAAGAAACUCAUCUGCUACAAAUUGCGACGAAGAGGGGAAAGAAGAUUUUCAACAAAGAAGAAUUUGUAAAAUAUUUAUUGGUGCUUUGAAUGUAAAAACGGGGGAGCGCUCAUGAUUUGUGACUAGUGCUGGCAAAAUGAGCUCAUAUUUUGAUAACCCGCCCAACUUGCUCAUAUUUUAAUGGGUUGGGUGAGUGACUUUUUACGUGGGUAGUAAAAUAUAGGUUGAUAUCCAUAUUCAACCCAUAAAAUAUGGAUUAGCCAAACGGAUUAAGCUUCUAUUAUUCACUCAAAAUUCAUGAAAAUAUGGGUAAACUAGUAUUUCACCCAACCCAUUUAGUACCCAAUCCAUUUUUAAAUAUGGGCGGGUUGAAUUAUUAUCCAUUUUCAACCCACCUAAAUUUGACCAAACCCGCCCAUUUGCCAAAUCUAUACUUUACAUAUUUGUUAGUUGCUUACAGACUCCAUCCAAAUCUGCCGAUCAUGAUGUUCGUCUAUUUCUUCUAAGGUUAGGAAAUAUGACAACUAAUGAGAAAGUGCUAAGAUCAAGCAUUGUUCGAACUCGAAGCCUUUCUUUCUCGGUCGUCCGUCUUAAUAAGCGGAUUCCGAUUCAUGCAGUCCUUCUCUGCUGCAUUAUGAUCUGCAGGGGUAUUUGAAGUGCUUGAUGUUGGUUGUGGUGUUGCCAGUUUCUCUGCCUAUCUUCUUCCUUUAAGUAUAGAAACAACGUCCUUUGCUCCUAAAGAUGAUCAUGAGAACCAAAUUCAGUUUGCUUUGGAACGAAGAAUCGGUGCAACAAUAUCUGCUAUAGCGCCAAAGCAGCUGCCAUAUCCUAGCAACUCUGUUGAGAUGUCGAGUUGAUUGGCAUGAAAAUGGUAUUGAUCCAGAGAAGUUCUUAGCAGAUACAAUCUAUUGGCAAGAUCAAGUUCGUCAUUUCUGGAGACUGAUUGAUGUAAACGAGAAAGAAAUAUGUAAUGUAAUGGACAUGAGUGCUUCACUUGGUGGAUUUGCAGUCGCUCUUAGUACUGUUGGGUUAUGGACCUUUUUCCCUUCCUAUGUGGAUAAAUAAAAGUCCAAUUUGGACCAACCCAUUUUUGCCCA